rnacentral:misc_RNA from 1 species
AAGUCGUAACAAGGUUUCCGUAGGUGAACCUGCGGAAGGAUCAUCAUCGAAUUCAUAUCCCCCUCCUCUCCCGGAGGAGGGGGACCCAUGAUAAACCCUCUGUGCACCGUAAACCGUUCAUUUUGGCAGGCUUUGAUGGUGAGCGUGAGCUCACCUCCAACCUCGCGUUCCCUCCCUGAGGACGUUACGCGUGGCGGCCUGCCGAAGUCCUCCCAUUAAAAACACGUUUUCGAACACGUCUGAAAAUUUGCUUUGAGAAAUCAAAGAAUCGAAACAACUUUCAACAACGGAUCUCUUGGCUCUC